UUGUCAGAUUCCUUUAGAAUCCAUUCUAGAAAGAAGCAAGCGGCGAGUGGAUCUGCCGCAACUACUGCAAAAAAAUCAUAGGUACAUCUAAAACGUAUGCAGUUUUUACGUAAUCUGCAAUUGCAAAGCAAAACCAUUAGUAAUAUUGAAAUAAAUGAAGACUGUCGAGAAUCUGAUUCUUUUGAGAUGGCUUAGGUUGAUGAUAACGGCAACAGCAGCAUUAUUGGGGCCUAUGGAUUUCAGUCUUCUACUGAAGAUCAAAGUACCACGCAUUAAUUGGUCUGGUUAUUGAACAAGAGGUAUCACGAGGGAUCCAAUUCGCAGCGAUCUUGGAAGUUAAGCAGCGUCGAGCGCGGUUACAACUUGAAUGGGUGGCCGUUUGGGAAUUUAUGAGAGAAAAUUCCCAAAAUUUUUUUGCGAAAAAUGUUUUUUAAAAUGCUACGAAAAUAUUGUUUUGCAUUGGAAUUUUGUGGUGUAACCAUAUCAGUACAAAAUUACUUUUUCAAAAAAAAGAUGCCUGUUUUUG
rnacentral:lncRNA from 13 species